UACAGAGGUCUCAAGCGUUGUUCGGAUUCAUUGGGCGUAAAGGGUGCGUAGGCGGCGCGGUAAGUCGGGUGUGAAAUCUCGGGGCUUAACUCCGAAACUGCAUUCGAUACUGCCGUGCUUGAGGACUGGAGAGGAGACUGGAAUUUACGGUGUAGCGGUGAAAUGCGUAGAUAUCGUAAGGAAGACCAGUGGCGAAGGCGGCUCACUGGCCCGGUACUGACGCUGAGGCGCGAAAGCGUGGGGAGCAAACAGG
rnacentral:rRNA from 1 species